rnacentral:rRNA from 1 species
ACGGGAGGCAGCAGUGGGGAAUAUUGCACAAUGGGGGAAACCCUGAUGCAGCGACGCCGCGUGAGUGAAGAAGUAUUUCGGUAUGCAAAGCUCUAUCAGCAGGGAAGAAAAUGACGGUACCUGACUAAGAAGUCCCGGCUAACUACGUGCCAGCAGCCGCGGUAAUACGUAGGGGGCAAGCGUUAUCCGGAUUUACUGGGUGCAAAGGGAGCGCAGACGGCGAUGCAAGUCUGAUGUGAAAGCCCGGGGCUCAACCCCGGCACUGCAUUGGAAACUGUGUUGCUAGAGUGCAGGAGAGGUAAGUGGAAUUCCUAGUGUAGCGGUGAAAUGCGUAGAUAUUAGGAGGAACACCAGUGGCGAAGGCGGCUUACUGGACUGUAACUGACGUUGAGGCUCGAAAGCGUGGGGAGCAAACAGGAUUAGAUACCCUGGUA